rnacentral:rRNA from 1 species
AGAACGAACGCUGGCGGCAUGCCUAACACAUGCAAGUCGAACGCCUGUAGCAAUACAGGAGUGGCGCACGGGUGAGUAACGCGUGGGAACCUACCCUGGAGUGGGGGAUAACCGAGGGAAACUUCGGCUAAUACCUCAUACGACCUGAGGGUGAAAGAUUUAUCGCUCUAGGAGGGGCCCGCGUCGGAUUAGCUAGUUGGUGAGGUAACGGCCCACCAAGGCGAUGAUCCGUAGCUGGUCUGAGAGGAUGAUCAGCCACACUGGGACUGAGACACGGCCCAGACUCCUACGGGAGGCAGCAGUGGGGAAUAUUGGACAAUGGGGGCAACCCUGAUCCAGCAAUGCCGCGUGAGUGAUGAAGGCCUUAGGGUUGUAAAGCUCUUUCGGCGGGGACGAUGAUGACGGUACCCGCAGAAGAAGCCCCGGCUAACUUCGUGCCAGCAGCCGC